GGCCGGGCCCGGUGCACGGAUGGCCCGUGAAUCUGGUCAGGGCUUGACCGCAGCAGCCAUAAGCGAGCGUCGUCCGGUGCCGCCGGUGUCCUGGCCGUC
rnacentral:SRP_RNA from 2 species